UUCACAACCCCCUUAGAGAUCAUUUUGUGGUAUCAUCAGACCUUGCAGCUUUACCAGGGUGGAAAUGGCAUCGCAUUGCUUGCAAUAAAGUCACUCUUUCAGGGACAAUAAGGUCUGUUGGGAUUAGGAUGUGCUUUUUUCACACCUUAAGACAAAGCCACCUUCAUGGCCUAUUUACCCGUCUCCUUCCCUCGCUGGCUCUGGAGCCUCUGUAACCCUCGGUACGGAAGACGUCGUUGUUUAGCCAUUCUGUUGUAGAUUUGCUGGUGUGCUUGGGAUCAUUUUCCAGUUUCGGCGAACCUUUAUCCGUUGGACAGAUGGGCUUACAUUUGACUCUACAAUACUUCGGUAUACAGAAGAAUUCAUGUUCGACUCAAUGACUGCAAGGUGCCCAGGUCCUGUGGCUGCAAUAUAAGCCUAUACAUCAUCACCCCUACACCACCGUGCUUGGCAGUUGCAAGAAGAGGCUUUCUCCUGGCAACACUUCCAAACAAGCCACAACAAGCUACAGUUUUUUUGUAAUUGUACCAUCAUGAACUUUGACCUUGAGGUGCAUUUGCUGGGUUGUCCACUCCUGGGAAGUUUGGCAACUGUCUUGAAUGUUUUCCACUGUAGAAUGAUGGACUUUAAAUUGUUUGGAAAUGGCCUUAGAACCCUUCAUAGACUGAUAAGCAGCAACAAUUGCUUCUCUAAGAUCAUUGCUGAUGUCACUGCUGAUGUCACAGAGCUGACUGCUCCAGACCAGCAAACUGCCAAAACUUCUGCUUCCAUAGAGGUGAUCACACUUGCUGAUGAUCAAUUAAUCAAGUGCAUUUGAUUAACAGCAUCUGGCUGCUACUUACCCUCUCAAUCCCUAUGGAAGCAGUAAGGGUGUACUUCAUGUUUCACACAUUGCGCAUUUUGGCUUAGUUUUUGUUAAAUAAAUAAUGACAUGGUAUGAUACGUCA